UGCCUGAACAAGAGUCCUAACUCAGGUCAAUAGCUUACUUGUGCCUGUUACAGCAAGAGAACCAUAUAAAAAGAUCCAUAGUUCAUGUUUUGUCAAAGUGCAUAUAGCUGUCAGCUUUUGUCAAAAUUGCCAAACCAAUCCUCUACUGUAUCCCUCCCCAGGUCUUAAAAUAUUGCGGUGUUGUAGAUCCUGCAUCGUCCACGGCAUCAUUCAUGGCCUACGUCCCCUGCUGGGAUGGCGAGUGUGAAGAUCUACUUUGCGCCCAUGAAGAAGCAACGACCAACGAAGACAGGGAUAAAGCAGCCAGUGAUCUUUUCGGUAGGCUCUAUGAGAAAUGAAGGCAGAGAUGGACAGAGACUGUGGAAUCGAUGGAUUUCACCCAUUCCAGCUGUUGGGCAUGGCAAACCAUCAACAACUCACGGGUAGGUCCACAACCCCAACACAAUGUCCAAUUACUGCAAAUUCCAUCGCGUAUCAGCUGUUGAGCAACGGUCGCUUCCCCAACGCGAACAAGAACUUUACUAGAGUCCCAUCGGCGAGUCAAGGAGCUGCGCCAUGCGCAGGGGUGUGAUCCCAACCUUUCAGGCGACUUCACGGCACACAAACUCCAGUUGGCCAUCCAACGGCUAGAGACCGGCUAGGCUCCAGGCUGUUUGCCACACACGCCCACAAGCUGCUCACGACAUCAGCAGACGUCUCUAAGGUCGCCUGGGUAAAACCAGCUGGAGAGUCUGGUGGACCUCAGCAGAACCAUCUACCUAGGCUACACCGCUUCAUAAACGACCCUAAGGAUGUGUGCGGUCAAGACCUCCCACGAAAGCAGUGGACGACCCUCAACCAUCUGAGGACUGGAGUCGGAUACUAUGGUACAUACAUGAAAAGCUGGGGAUUGGCAGACAGCACUUCCUGCGACUGCAGAGAACCAAUCCAGACAGUAGACCACAUCAUCACCACCUGCCCAAAACACCGGUCGCCUGAUCAACCUGGAGGAUGACACACUGGCCUGGCUCACCUCGACAGAGCUGCAAGUCUAAGGACAUACAUGUACAACAGAAGAAGAAGUCCUAAAUUAACAACGCAAUCUCCAGUAUGUCAACUAGAUCUUCACCACAUACACUGACCCAGCACCCAACAGUACCAGCCUGGUAACACACCUCAUAGUCCCCCAGUCACAGCAGCCAUCGGAGACGGACACCUCAUCCCCGGGGCUAUGAGCAGACUGAUGGGCAGCAGCCGCAAAUCGAGUACCAGUAUGCCUGCAUCAAUGAUCCGAGCCAGAGCACUGCCAAUGGGGAAGUUGUCCUUAUUGAGAUACCAGACGAGGGAAGCAAAGGGGAUUUGGAGGACGAGACUUGCUACACAGAGCACAACUUGUCGCUGCUGCUGCAGGAGAAGGAAAGUCUGGAGAAGACUCUUGAGGAGGAGCAGACAACGUUGGCCCAGACAGAGCACAGGAUGAAAGGCACUAUAGAAAGGCUUCGUACAAAGGUUGGGUAUUUGUCCAACACAGACACGUCACUCAAUCAGCAGCUGUCCAUGAUUCACAAGUCCAGUUUGAAACGUCUAACCAACGACAGCGAGAACCAGUCCAUUUUGCAAGACUUACUGCAACACAUGUCUGAGCAGCACACCCAGCUGCUGCACCACCAUCUAGCACAGCUACGGCUGUACACUCAGGCCUGCGCAUUAUCCAAAUCAGCCCCGAGGAAUCUGCAGCUGAAUCUACAGUCUUGGUACCAUACCUUGCUGACCAAUCACAGGACAUCUCACACAUGUCCAUGAUGUCGUCCUCGGAGGGCACCCUUGGGAACAUGGAGCAGACAGUUGUCAUGACGAUAACGUCUGAGGAGGAUUCGGAGCCGCUCGGCAACACCGUGGAUAACCCCGGAGAUACUGUGGGACAUGACUCCUUGACUUGGGAUAUAAAGGACGUUCACUUGUCACCAAAUGACAUUCUGUACCUACUGACAAGCGAGGGACUGUCACCAAGACAUGACACCUCUGAGUCGGGUCACGUUUAUCAAUCAGGUAGAACUCAUCCACAUCACAACACAGGCUGUGAUGUCACGCAACAGGAUUUUCACAAGAACAAAAGUUGAAAAUUGAUUCUUUCCAACAGCAUGCCAAAAAUAUUCUGCCCCGAUGGCUUUGACAAAAGAACGUUUGAAGACAAUUGUCAAA
rnacentral:misc_RNA from 1 species